rnacentral:rRNA from 1 species
GAUGAACGCUAGCGGCGUGCCUAAUACAUGCAAGUCGAGCGAACGGACGAGAAGCUUGCUUCUCUGAUGUUAGCGGCGGACGGGUGAGUAACACGUGGAUAACCUACCUAUAAGACUGGGAUAACUUCGGGAAACCGUAGCUAAUACCGGAUAAUAUUUUGAACCGCAUGGUUCAAAAGUGAAAGACGGUCUUGCUGUCACUUAUAGAUGGAUCCGCGCUGCAUUAGCUAGUUGGUAAGGUAACGGCUUACCAAGGCAACGAUGCAUAGCCGACCUGAGAGGGUGAUCGGCCACACUGGAACUGAGACACGGUCCAGACUCCUACGGGAGGCAGCAGUAGGGAAUCUUCCGCAAAGGGCGAAAGCCUGACGGAGCAACGCCGCGUGAGUGAUGAAGGUCUUCGGAUCGUAAAACUCUGUUAUUAGGGAAGAACAUAUGUGUAAGUAACUGUGCACAUCUUGACGGUACCUAAUCAGAAAGCCACGGCUAACUACGUG